rnacentral:rRNA from 1 species
GACGAACGCUGGCGGCGUGCUUAACACAUGCAAGUCGAACGGAAAGGCCCUGCUUUUGUGGGGUGCUCGAGUGGCGAACGGGUGAGUAACACGUGAGUAACCUGCCCUUGACUUUGGGAUAACUUCAGGAAACUGGGGCUAAUACCGGAUAGGAGCUCCUGCUGCAUGGUGGGGGUUGGAAAGUUUCGGCGGUUGGGGAUGGACUCGCGGCUUAUCAGCUUGUUGGUGGGGUAGUGGCUUACCAAGGCUUUGACGGGUAGCCGGCCUGAGAGGGUGACCGGCCACAUUGGGACUGAGAUACGGCCCAGACUCCUACGGGAGGCAGCAGUGGGGAAUAUUGCACAAUGGGCGGAAGCCUGAUGCAGCGACGCCGCGUGCGGGAUGACGGCCUUCGGGUUGUAAACCGCUUUCGCCUGUGACGAAGCGUGAGUGACGGUAAUGGGUAAAGAAGCACCGGCUAACUACGUGCCAGCAGCCGCGGUGAUACGUAGGGUGCGAGCGUUGUCCGGAUUUAUUGGGCGUAAAGGGCUCGUAGGUGGUUGAUCGCGUCGGAAGUGUAAUCUUGGGGCUUAACCCUGAGCGUGCUUUCGAUACGGGUUGACUUGAGGAAGGUAGGGGAGAAUGGAAUUCCUGGUGGAGCGGUGGAAUGCGCAGAUAUCAGGAGGAACACCAGUGGCGAAGGCGGUUCUCUGGGCCUUUCCUGACGCUGAGGAGCGAAAGCGUGGGGAGCGAACAGGCUUAGAUACCCUGGUAGUCCACGCUGUAAACGGUGGGUACUAGGUGUGGGGUCCAUUCCACGGGUUCCGUGCCGUAGCUAACGCUUUAAGUACCCCGCCUGGGGAGUACGGCCGCAAGGCUAAAACUCAAAGGAAUUGACGGGGCCCCGCACAAGCGGCGGAGCAUGCGGAUUAAUUCGAUGCAACGCGUAGAACCUUACCUGGGUUUGACAUGGAUCGGGAGUGCUCAGAGAUGGGUGUGCCUCUUUUGGGGUCGGUUCACAGGUGGUGCAUGGCUGUCGUCAGCUCGUGUCGUGAGAUGUUGGGUUAAGUCCCGCAACGAGCGCAACCCUUGUUCACUGUUGCCAGCACGUUAUGGUGGGGACUCAGUGGAGACCGCCGGGGUCAACUCGGAGGAAGGUGGGGAUGACGUCAAGUCAUCAUGCCCCUUAUGUCCAGGGCUUCACGCAUGCUACAAUGGCUGGUACAGAGAGUGGCGAGCCUGUGAGGGUGAGCGAAUCUCGGAAAGCCGGUCUCAGUUCGGAUUGGGGUCUGCAACUCGACCUCAUGAAGUCGGAGUCGCUAGUAAUCGCAGAUCAGCAACGCUGCGGUGAAUACGUUCCCGGG